CACAUCUGCUGCAUGCGUGAACUCAUCCACACGACUAACAGCGUGUACUGCGCCUUUAAUUAGUGACAUUUGUGAAAAUUAGACUGACCUGUGGAGCCAUGGAGGCCAUGCCGUACAAAUAAUGAGUUGCUCAAGUGAAAGGCAGAAGUGGAGCUUCCCGCACAACCAACAGGAAAGCAGCAAGUUUCUGGAUGCUUCAGAGAAGACAGAAGGCUGGUGGAGGCAGUGAAAUACUUUGGGUCAUGUUUUCCUUGGAAACCUUGAGUCCUGACAGUCAUGUGGAUGUUCCUUUGAGUCGUUCCAGCUAAAUGGCGUUGCUAACAGAGCACAGCCCCAUUAUUCCCUGACUGUGGCCUUCUCCAGCAGGGUAAUCAGCCCUGCCACGUCGCUCCGGUAACAUGUUCAAGGUGUUGACUCGGCCUCCACAUUUUCUGUGGGGAUGUUCU